rnacentral:rRNA from 1 species
ACGUAGGGGGCAAGCGUUGUCCGGAAUCAUUGGGCGUAAAGCGCGUGUAGGUGGCUUGGUAAGUCCGGUGUGAAAUCUUGGGGCUCAACCCCAAACGUGCAUCGGAUACUGCCUCGCUCGAGUUCGGGAGGGGAGAGCGGAAUUCCUAGUGUAGCGGUGAAAUGCGCAGAUAUUAGGAAGAACACCGGUGGCGAAGGCGGCUCUCUGGAACGAUACUGACACUGAGACGCGAAAGCGUGGGUAGCGAACAGGAUUAGAUACCCUGGUAGUCCACGCCGUAAACGAUGGGCACUAGAUGUGGGCGGUGUCGACUCCGUCCGUGUCGCAGCUAACGCAUUAAGUGCCCCGCCUGGGGAGUACGGCCGCAAGGCUA